rnacentral:lncRNA from 1 species
CGAGAAGCCCCUGCAGUGAGAGGAAGCCCGUCCACUGCAGCUAGGGAGUAGCCCUGGUCCCCUACUAUAAGCCAGUGUAUAGCAAGGAAGACCCUGUGGGGCCAAAAGGAAAUAAAUUUCAAAAUAAGUUCUUUCUCUAACUGAACAGAAAACUUGGUUCUCACAACUUCCACCCAUUGGUCCAAGGUCUUUCCUUUGGGUGAAAUAGAGUAAGUCCGACCCAUUUUUAUGAGACAGGCUUUAAUACAUUAGUUGAAAAGAUACGCUGCAAGUCUUCCCUUCUCUAGCUUAAACUCAAAGUUCUCACAACCCUCUUUCAUAUGAAAAAGCCCCCAGAGCCUCAUAACCUCAGGGUACCCUAAAAUUAUGGACACAGAUGUGAAUGUAAUAUUUCUGCACAGCCUGAGCACGCACCCUCCAAGGGAGGCCACACUCAUGAACAGAGUCUCAGGUGGCCUGAGCUUUAAAAGCCAUGUUCCACUAGGGGCCUGCAGUCUAGCAAAAUGACCGGGUUGUGUGAUGCUGCGGUUAAUCCUGAUGCUGUCACUCCUCGUAAGCAUUCUGUCCGCCAGCUUGUGACAUCCAUCAGUUUUAUGAGCAUGAACAGGCCUUCUGAAAAUUUAUCCACAAGGUGACUGACUGCCUUGAGUGGCAGGACCGAGCCUUGAGGCAGACCUAGCAGUCACAGUGCCCAGAGCCGUGUGGCCAGCACUUUGCCAGCCUCCUCCCUAGAGUUCUCAGCCCAGUGACUUGUCAUUCAACUCUUGUGGAGCGUUAUCUUGCCACAAGGUCAGGAGGAAGCAUCUUGAUGGACACUGUGCGGAAAUAAUGAAAACACUUCAGCAGCUGCCUCUGAUCUGCUUGCUUCAAGAAAAGAAAUUAAUUUGGCAAUUGCACUGGUUUUCAGAGUUUAUGCUUUUAUUUUCUUUUGGGAGGAUCAGGUAGUAAGUGCCAGCUUCCCCUUCGUUUCUACACCUUUGAUAUCUUGUGGCCACUAAGAACUGUGACCAAGUGCUGUCUCAGUAUUCACAGGUCGGUGCGUGGGCAGGGAGCAGGGCAGAAACAUGUGUUGGCCUUAUUUUGUUUCCGUGAGAAUAAAGUGAUGUGUUUUGAAGAGUACACAAUUGUGAUUCCACAAGAGGCCAAGCUGCCCUCUAGUGGCUGUUAGAGAAUUGUGUCCAUCCAGCACAGCCUGCUCAAGCUGGGCAUGACUUUAGAAGUUUAUCACCUUGAGCAUACCUUGCCAUUUUUCAUCUAAUGGCAGUCACGCUACUUUGAUUUUAUUUGAUUUUAAUCUAGGCUAGAGCUGCAAUAUAGAAUUUCACUAAUAGUUAAGUUUGUCCAGCUCUCUGUUGUAAAGUUGAUGACUUGGGUGUUUUAAG